rnacentral:misc_RNA from 1 species
UCCAGGUUAUCCCUGGCGGUCUCCUGAGAGUGCAUCCUUGCGGAUUAGCAACACACGCCAGAGGUUGCGCUCGUUGCGGGACUUAACCCAACAUCUCACGACACGAGCUGACGACAGUCAUGCACCACCUGUACACCUGCCCCGAAGGGCUGCCGUAUUUCUACGACAUUCAGGUGCAUGUCAAGCCCUGGUAAGGUUCUUCGCGUUGCGUCGAAUUAAACCACAUGCUCCGCCGCUUGUGCGGGCCCCCGUCAAUUCCUUUGAGUUUUAGCCUUGCGGCCGUACUCCCCAGGCGGGGCACUUAAUGCGUUAGCUACGGCGCGGAAAACGUGGAAUGUCCCCCACACCUAGUGCCCAACGUUUACGGCAUGGACUAC